GGUGAGUAACACGUGGGUAACCUGCCUGUAAGAACUGGGAUAACUCCGGGAAACCGGGGCUAAUACCGGAUGCUUGUUUGAACCGCAUGGUUCAAACAUAAAAGGUGGCUUCGGCUACCACUUACAGAUGGACCCGCGGCGCAUUAGCUAGUUGGUGAGGUAAUGGCUCACCAAGGCAACGAUGCGUAGCCGACCUGAGAGGGUGAUCGGCCACACUGGGACUGAGACACGGCCCAGACUCCUACGGGAGGCAGCAGUAGGGAAUCUUCCGCAAUGGACGAAAGUCUGACGGAGCAACGCCGCGUGAGUGAUGAAGGUUUUCGGAUCGUAAAGCUCUGUUGUUAGGGAAGAACAAGUACCGUUCGAAUAGGGCGGUACCUUGACGGUACCUAACCAGAAAGCCACGGCUAACUACGUGCCAGCAGCCGCGGUAAUACGUAGGUGGCAAGCGUUGUCCGGAAUUAUUGGGCGUAAAGGGCUCGCAGGCGGUUUCUUAAGUCUGAUGUGAAAGCCCCCGGCUCAACCGGGGAGGGUCAUUGGAAACUGGGGAACUUGAGUGCAGAAGAGGAGAGUGGAAUUCCACGUGUAGCGGUGAAAUGCGUAGAGAUGUGGAGGAACACCAGUGGCGAAGGCGACUCUCUGGUCUGUAACUGACGCUGAGGAGCGAAAGCGUGGGGAGCGAACAGGAUUAGAUACCCUGGUAGUCCACGCCGUAUACGAUGAGUGCUAAGUGUUAGGGGGUUUCCGCCACUUAGUGCUGCAGCUAACGCAUUAAGCACUCCGCCUGGCGAGUACGGUCGCAAGACUGAAACUCWAAGGAAUUGACGRGGGCCCGCACAWGCGGUGGAGCAUGUGGUUU
rnacentral:rRNA from 1 species